rnacentral:rRNA from 2 species
CAGUGAUAAACUGGAGGAAGGUGGGGAUGACGUCAAGUCAUCAUGGCCCUUACGACCAGGGCUACACACGUGCUACAAUGGCGCAUACAAAGAGAAGCGACCUCGCGAGAGCAAGCGGACCUCAUAAAGUGCGUCGUAGUCCGGAUUGGAGUCUGCAACUCGACUCCAUGAAGUCGGAAUCGCUAGUAAUCGUGGAUCAGAAUGCCACGGUGAAUACGUUCCCGGGCCUUGUACACACCGCCCGUCACACCAUGGGAGUGGGUUGCAAAAGAAGUAGGUAGCUUAACCUUCGGGAGGGCGCUUACCACUUUGUGAUUCAUGACUGGGGUGAAGUCGUAACAAGGUAACCGUAGG